CAUCUUCAAUCAAGGAAACUGAAGGAGAACCUCGGGCAAUGCCAGGAUACUAGGUUUUCCCAGAAAAAACAAACUGUCAUGAGUCUUCACUUCAUCAUGAGACACGGGAGCUUGGGAUCCAGGCUUCAGCUGCCUACACUCAGCUGAUUUCUCUACGUUUGCAGUUGUGGAGAGGUCUGAAAGGGAAGAGUAUGAUGGGAAAGAGAAUGGACUCCAUCUUUUCAGAGACAUUUGGCUUCUGUAUAGGACCCCCUGAUGAUGGGGUAAAAGGCUCCAUGUCCUGUGCAGAAGAGGGACAGAGUUCCCCUGCAGGAGAAGUACGGGGGCCUCUCACUGUUGUGGCCUUUCCCGUUGCGGAGCACAGGCUCCGGACGUGCAGGCUCAGCGGCCAUGGCUCACGGGCCCAGCCGCUCCGCGGCAUGUGGGAUCUUCCCG